rnacentral:rRNA from 1 species
AUUGAACGCUGGCGGCAUGCCUUACACAUGCAAGUCGAACGGCAGCACGGGAGCAAUCCUGGUGGCGAGUGGCGAACGGGUGAGUAAUGUAUCGGAACGUACCUUUCAGUGGGGGAUAACGUAGCGAAAGUUACGCUAAUACCGCAUAUUCUGUGAGCAGGAAAGCAGGGGAUCGCAAGACCUUGCGCUGAUUGAGCGGCCGAUAUCAGAUUAGCUAGCUGGUGAGGUAAAGGCUCACCAAGGCGACGAUCUGUAGCGGGUCUGAGAGGAUGAUCCGCCACACUGGAACUGAGACACGGUCCAGACUCCUACGGGAGGCAGCAGUGGGGAAUUUUGGACAAUGGGCGCAAGCCUGAUCCAGCCAUGCCGCGUGAGUGAAGAAGGCC